rnacentral:hammerhead_ribozyme from 1 species
GUCCAGUUGAAGAGUCCCGAAUAGGACAAAAUGCGCAUCCUGAAU